GUACCCUCCAGCCCUGCUGGGUGUUGGGCGUUUUGUUCCGCUACACGCGUGAACUCGCCUCAAAUGCAUUGGCAGCCAGCCGUCCCGCGUGGGAGCGCAGCACAUUUUGCGCUCUCCGCUGGGUGCGGCGGCGUCCACAAGCCUAUACUUUUAC
rnacentral:misc_RNA from 2 species